GAUGAACGCUAGCGGCAGGCUUAAUACAUGCAAGUCGUGGGGUAGAGAGGUGCUUGCACUUCUUGAGACCGGCAAACGGGUGCGGAACACGUACACAACCUUCCUUUUAGAGGGGGAUAGCCCAGGGAAACUUGGAUUAAUACCCCGUAAGAUGUUGGUGAGGCAUCUCACUGAUAUUAUAGCAGCGAUGCGCUAGAAGACGGGUGUGCGUAUGAUUAGGUAGUUGGCGGGGUAAUGGCCCACCAAGCCUACGAUCAUUAACUGGUGUGAGAGCACGACCAGUCACACGGGCACUGAGACACGGGCCCGACUCCUACGGGAGGCAGCAGUAAGGAAUAUUGGUCAAUGGACGCAAGUCUGAACCGGCCAUGCCGCGUGGAGGAUGAAGGUCCUCUGGAUUGUAAACUUCUUUUAUCUGGGGCGAAAAAGGGGAAUUCUUUCUCAACUGACGGUACCAGAUGAAUAAGCACCGGCUAACUCCGUGCCAGCAGCCGCGGUAAUAC
rnacentral:rRNA from 1 species